CCUACGGGAGGCAGCAGUGAGGAAUAUUGGACAAUGGACGAAAGUCUGAUCCAGCCAUGCCGCGUGCAGGAUGACGGCCCUAUGGGUUGUAAACUGCUUUUAUACAGGAAGAAACACUCCCACGUGUGGGGGCUUGACGGUACUGUACGAAUAAGGAUCGGCUAACUCCGUGCCAGCAGCCGCGGUAAUACGGAGGAUCCAAGCGUUAUCCGGAAUUAUUGGGUUUAAAGGGUCCGCAGGCGGUCUAUUAAGUCAGAGGUGAAAUCUUGCAGCUCAACUGUAAAAUUGCCUUUGAUACUGGUAGACUUGAGUCAUUGUGAAGUGGUUAGAAUGUGUAGUGUAGCGGUGAAAUGCAUAGAUAUUACACAGAAUACCAAUUGCGAAGGCAGAUCACUAACAAUGUACUGACGCUCAUGGACGAAAGCGUGGGGAGCGAACAGGAUUAGAUACCCUGGUAGUCCACGCCGUAAACGAUGGAUACUAACUGUUCGUCCCGCUUGCGGGAUGAGUGGUCAAGCGGAAGUGAUAAGUAUCCCACCUGGGGAGUACGCUCGCAAGAGUGAAACUCAAAUGAAUUGACGG
rnacentral:rRNA from 1 species